CUCUCUCUCUCUCUCCCCCAUCUGCAUGUUGCCUGCGAGUCCCUAGACGCAGCAGCAGCAGCACCGGAGCACGGAGAGGAAUUAGAAGGAAGGACGCUCUGCUUUCCCCUCUGCUUGCCUGGAGGGGAGGGGUUUUCUCUGCUCUUUGUUCCGUUUGAGCAAACACAGUAACGAAACAGAAGAGGGUGGGCAGUAAGACCCUGAGGCAGAAUGCAGGAAAGCAACAGCUUUCUCUCUCGGGAGGCUCGAACGCACGUGUGGCUGCCUGCAAUCAGUUUACCACACCGAGAAUGAAGAUAAACUGGUAAAAUAAGGGGGCUGGGUUAAAGCUAAAGGGAAAACCUCAAAGAUCCCUCAAGAACAAGGCAGGGGUUCAGGGCUCCCAAAGCCGAGCUGCAGCCUUAGAAGGGAAAAAUGGGGCUUUCGGAGGUGGUUUUACUGCCCCGCUGCUUCCAAUUUUUUAAAAGGCAAAUUGCAGGAGAAGAUGCAGCAGUCAGUCACUCUCUCACUCCCUCCAAGCACCCACGCUAGCGAACAAACACACAGGCAACCACACACUCACAAAGCACACACACUAGCAAACACACAGUCGCGCUG